GUCCCUGUAGCCCAGUGGAUAGGACGUUGAACUUCUAAUCCAAAGGUCGUGGGUUCGAAUCACACCAGGGGUA
rnacentral:tRNA from 1 species